rnacentral:rRNA from 1 species
CCUACGGGUGGCAGCAGUAGGGAAUAUUGCUCAAUGGGGGAAACCCUGAAGCAGCCACGCCGCGUGAAGGAUGACGGUUUUCGGAUUGUAAACUCCUUUUGUUAGAGAAGAUAAUGACGGUAUCUAACGAAUAAGCACUGGCUAACGCCGUGCCAGCAGCCGCGGUAAUACGGAGGGUGCAAGCGUUACUCGGAAUCACUGGGCGUAAAGAGCGCGUAGGCGGAAUAGCAAGUCAGAUGGGAAAUCCUAAGGCUUAACCAUAGAAUUGCAUGUGAAACUGUUAGUCUAGAGUAUGGGAGAGGUAGGUGGAAUUCGUGGUGUAGGGGUAAAAUCCGUAGAGAUCAAGAGGAAUACUCAUUGCGAAGGCGACCUGCUAGAACGUAACUGACGCUGAUGCGCGAAAGCGUGGGUAGCAAACAGGAUUAGAUACCCGAGUAGUC